UGUUUAACGGCCGCGGUAUCUUAACCGCGCGAAGGUAGCGUAAUCACUUGUCUUUUAAAUGAAGACCUGUAUGAAUGGCAUAACGAGGGUUUAACUGUCUCCUCCCCCCAGUCAAUGAAAUUGAUCUGUCCGUGCAGAAGCGGACAUAACAACAUAAGACGAGAAGACCCUAUGGAGCUUUAGGCAAAUGAUCAAGCACACCAAACCCUUCUUACAAGCUCGGAGAUUUAAACGCCAAUGAUCAGCCCGCCUUCGGUUGGGGCGACCGCGGAGGAUAAAAGAGCCUCCGAGUGGUAUGGGAAAACCCUUAAGCUAAGAAAAACAAGUCUAGGCAUCAAAAAAUUUGACCAAACAUGACCCAGGAUAAUCCUGAUUGACGAACCAAGUUACCCUAGGGAUAACAGCGCAAUCCCCUCCCAGAGUCCAUAUCGACGAGGGGGUUUACGACCUCGAUGUUGGAUCAGGACAUCCUAAUGGUGCAGCCGCUAUUAAGGGUUCGUUUGUUCAACGAUUAA
rnacentral:rRNA from 1 species